ACGUGAGUUCGUGAUGGUUUAGCUUGUUUUAUAAAAGUUUUUUGGAGAACCAGAUAGAAAUUAAGCAAUAUGAUGGUACCCGAAAAUCUUUGCUUGGUUCCACUUGAUGCAGCUGCAUUCUUGACUAGCCUUAGUGCCAGUUGAGAAUUUCAUGCAUCUAUUUUGCUGUCAUUAAUUAAUUUUAAUUAUCUGGUUAUUACAUUUCAGCCCUAUCAUGAUGAGUGCUGGAGAAUUAGAAAGCGGGAAUGCAGGAGAGCCUGCAAAGUUGAUCAGACAAAGGUACCGCGAGGCUGCAGACAUCAUCAGGAAAGGAAAAAUGUGUGCCCUCUUCAUCAAUGAUCUUGAUGCAGGUGCUGGUAGGAUGGGUGGAACUACACAGUACACUGUGAACAACCAGAUGGUGAAUGCUACUCUCAUGAACAUUGCUGAUAACCCAACAAAUGUGCAGCUUCCUGGUAUGUAUAACAAGGAGGACAAUCCCAGAGUCCCCAUUAUAGUCACCGGUAACGAUUUCUCCACAUUGUAUGCUCCUCUCAUUCGUGACGGUCGUAUGGAGAAAUUUUACUGGGCUCCCACUAGGGAAGACCGGAUUGGGGUUUGCACGGGAAUCUUCAAGCCUGACAAUGUUAGUGCGGAUGAUGUUGUUAAGAUUGUUGACACAUUCCCUGGUCAAUCUAUUGGUAAGUAUAGCUCAAAAGAUUGGUGUUCUGGAAUUUUCCAACACUUUUCUUGAUGAGAAUUUUCAGUAUAAAGCAGGAAAGGUCUUCAACAAUCCAUAGAGACUCUUCUGUUGUAGUAGCUUUUGCAUAUAUUUUGGGAAUUAUCAGUAAAUAUGAUCCCUAUAGUAUUACUCAAUUAGCGACUUGGUUGAAAAUACGAUCAUGCUAACUUGUUAUAUGCCACACUGCAGACUUCUUUGGUGCUCUAAGGGCUCGAGUUUACGAUGAUGAAGUGAGGAAGUGGGUAUCAGGUGUUGGGGUAGAUGGCAUUGGGAAGAAGCUUGUGAACUCAAAAGAAGGUCCCCCAACUUUUGAACAGCCUAAAAUGACAGUGGAGAAGCUCCUUCACUAUGGUCAAAUGCUGGUUCAGGAGCAGGACAAUGUGAAGAGAGUUCAACUGGCUGACAAGUACUUGAGUGAUGCAGCCCUUGGAGAUGCAAACCAGGACGCCAUUAAGAGAGGAGAAUUCUAUGGUUAGUACACUUUGUCUUAACACAACAACCCUAGAGGCACCAACUUGUGUCCCAACUUUUUAAAUCUGAAGUGAUGUAGCGGAAUUUCAUUCGUUUAAAUUUGGGGCAGAUUUUCCUUACCAAAUCUGAACUAUAGUAGUUUGUUCAAGUUUUCUGUAAAUUUUUUGAUGCAGGCAAGGCAGCCCAACAAAUUAAAGUACCUGUCCCUGAAGGCUGUACUGAUCCAUCAGCUGCAAACUUUGACCCAACAGCUAGGAGUGACAAUGGUAGUUGCCAAUAUGAGUAAAUGGGGAGUUGGAAGAAAUAAUGAUAUUGCCUGCUUGCUGGGUUCUUAUCUU
rnacentral:lncRNA from 1 species